rnacentral:lncRNA from 1 species
AUCCUUUUCAGUUUACAGGAAAUCAAACUGACCACUGGAAAAUAAUCAGAGAAAUCAAGAAUAUAGAAUAUUCUGUAAGACAACUGUCCUGGUGUCUUCAAAAAACUCAGUCAUAAAAGGCAAGAAGUCCUGCGGGAAGCAUAUGUCAGCACCAAAGCCUACAUGCCGCACUUGGUCUUUCUCUCAUCACCAUAACAUGGAAGCAAGUACAGCCAUCGACCACAUCGGACCCUGUGGUGGAAGGAGAAGGCAGCACUAUUGCACUUCCACUCGUGUCUCAGAGGCAAGGAAUCUGGCCGCCCCCAGCUAAAUGCAACACUGGGAGCAUGAGGCUUUUAGUCUCCAGUCUCUAUGGCACAGGCAGGCAAAGGCGGUGAGGAUGGGAACCCGACUUUGUGCUCAGUCCAUGUUGUCUGCCAGAACCUUUGAUGGAGUGGACUCAUUUUUUCUCCAUGUCUCAGCAUCUUGUUUAUAUUUUUCAUCAUUUAAUUUAUUUGUUGAAUCCUGGGAAAUUCUAUUCAUUUCAGAAUUCUUUUAGUUUAUCUCACCUACUAUUUUAAACUUUAUUUCUGAGAUUGUAAUUUUAGUGAGUUUUUCUAUUUCCUGAAGUUUUAUUUGCUUGUACUCUUUCCUUUUUUUUCUUUUCUUCUUCUUCUUUUUUUUUUGAGACAGUCUUGCUCUGUUGCCCAGGCUGGAGUGCCAUGGCAUGAUCUCAGCUGUCACCUCCACCUCCCACGUUCAAGCAAUUCUCCUGCCUUAGUGUCCCUAGUAGCUGGGAUGACAGAUGCACGCCACCAUGCCCAGCUAAUUUUUGUAUUUUUAGUAGACGGGGUUUCACCAUGUUAGCCAGGCUGGUCUUGAACUCGGGACCUCAGGUGAUCUGCCCACCUUGGCCUCCCAAAGUGCUGGGAUUACAGGCGUGAGCCACCACACCUGGCCCCUUAUAGUUUCUAUGCCUUUUUUUUUAUCCCCUUUAAUCAUUUGUUAUUUAGGUGAAGAGGGAAAUGCCUUUUUUCCCCAUUCUUACUUGCAUGAUGGCAGGGAAGUGGAGGCGUUAUAUCCCCCAGCAUAUGCCUGGCCCUUCUCUCCUGGGAAUAUAGAGAAAUGUAUUUGAUUGCAAGUUUCAGACGAAUGCCUGGAGGCUUGGCUUGGCUCAUCUCUGCGCUUUUUCCUUUUGUGAAUAAGUUUGCCACAGGGUGAGGUGUUCUCUGCAGCCCUUUUGGGACAAGCUCUCCCUGUCACAUGCCCCAGAAUUACCUGCAAUCAAGUGGUUAAUGUCUGCCUAAUUCUGGGCUUCAGUAUUAGGAAACAUACUUGCUGCGCAUAUACACCACAUCCUCCACCUGAGCUGUGUGUGCAAUGUUUGGUUGCAGCCUCCCUCUGCUACUUUGAAUUACUACUUCUUUUUGUUUUUUGUUUUUUUUUCAGAGGAUAGGGAACACUUAGAAGAUCCCAAACUUACUUUCUUUUAUAUUUUGCUAUUAUAUAUUUUUACAUAUAUAUUCUAUAAUAUCAUAUAUUUUAUUUUAAUGUAUUUUGUUAUAAUCUUAAGUUCUUGAAGAACUAAUGCUCCUCUUUAUGUGUUGCUGAUUUGCUGGUGGUGGAAGGUUUCCUUCUACGUUUUGACUAUUUCUCACUGUAAGCGCAUCCAAUCAAAGCUCAGUUUUUCUAUAGACAUCUACGUAGCCGGGAAACUAAAAUGUCCCUAAGUCCAGAAUGAGGUUGCGUAUGUUGUUCUCAGGUGUCUGAGAGAUAGCACUUGCCAGCGGCCAAUUUUUAUACUAAUUUCACAUCUCUGGGUUUCCCCCAUGAUGCUGUUAAAUGACUUGAACUCUAUGUGGGACACAGUCUGGGCUUUGAUUUCUUUCAGAG